UUCAAACUAAUAAUCAUACCUUUUGGUCUUAGCUUAGCUUAGUUUAUAUUGACCAUCCCUUUUACUUUGGUCUAAGAUACAAGUCCAUGUUUGAGAUUAGUUGCCUGAGUCUGUCUCCAUAUAUUACGGUUGAUCAUGGCCAUGUUCUAGGCUUUUGAUCUAUUUUUGACCUAACUGUCCUCCGAUCUCUACCUCCACACUGGAUGAAAUUGUCAUGGUUCCCAAUCCAACAAAAAUCAUAUGAUUCUCGCAUACUCUGGUUUCAUCAAACCUAAUCCAUAUGAUGCUAGCUUAUUCUUAGCUACUAGCUAAAUUGUUAAUAUAGGGUGUAAACACUAUCAUUCAAGUUUAUUGUAUAAUGUGCAAUAGAAAUUUGGCUAUUAAAGCAUUCUAGUUAUUGUAAUUUGUUAUAAUAUUAUAUUGUAAUUUAAAAACUGCUAAAAAAGGAGAAAAACAAUAUGCACUAAGGCUAAUACCAAUGAUGCAAGUACUAAUGAUAGAAGUUUCUAUAUGAAAGUACAACUUAUGCAAAGUAUCUGUGCAAAUAUUAAUAAAGCUAGUACUAAUGACUGAAAUUUUACAUGGCCAUCAUAAAAAUUCCUUGCCUAAUUUGCAACAAAAAAUUGGCUAUAGAACCCUUCUAUUUAUUAUAAUUUAUUUUAUUGCUAUAUUUCAUCUUAAGAAUAAUUGAAAAAAGAAAAGUAACUAUAUCAUGUGCAUAACACAGAUUAUAUGUUAGUACAAAUUAAGACUGAGACUGACAAUAUAGUUAAGAGUAGCUUGGCAAGGAAAUGCAAACGGUGGUGGGGAUCGAGAGAGGGUGGUCUUUGUGGAGCCUUCUCCUUGCUUUGUCGAUAGUAGCUAGGGUGAUAGCCACUGAUAGAGAUGACUUCCCAGAUGGCUUUAUUUUUGGUGCUGGUACCGCUGCCUACCAGGUAAGACAACUAUGCAUCCAUCUGUGUAUGUUUGUAGUGUAUGUGAACCUUGGUAGACAAAUUAAAGGUUGCUUUGGAAAAAAAGUUAUGUAUGUAUGUAUAUAUGUACGUAGACAGACAGACAGACAGACAGACAGACAGACAGACAGACAGAUCGAUCGAUCGAUCGAUCGAUAAAUGAAGCGGGUGGACUAAAUCACCCUCAAGUAGAUAAUGUUAUGAUUUAUGUUGACUAAGUGAAUCCUACUAAAACUUUUCAGGGCAAAAAAAUUGAUGAGCAAUCUUCAGAAUUUUUCAUUUUUUUUGGAUUGAAAAUGAGCUCCAAGUUUCUCGGGUAUUAAAAAUCGAAACACAGCAGCUAUCCUCAUCUCCAGGAACUACUGAUUGGAGUGAAAAUUAAGAUAUUCUUAUCACAAAUAAGUCUUUUACCAUGUUACUUCUUGAAUAUUAAUACAAAAUAGUCUGGCCUUUCCUUGUAAAUCAAAUAAACGAUAUCAUUGAUGGGCUGAUCUCUAGAUUUUUAACGAAAAAGAUAAAUAUGCUCAUGUUUUAGCCCCUGGCUAAUGCUAAAAAUAAUUGCAAAUAAAAUGCAAGUGGAUAAAUAAUUGAGAUCGGUCAGUUUAAUAACAUUUUUUUGGUAUUAAUAAUGGAUGAGAGUUACAACGGUUCUCCUUUUCUGUUGUCUAUUGUUUGGGAAAAUAAAGCACUAACAAAGAACGCAAAUUUAAAGCUGAUUAGCGAUUACUAGCUUAAACCCAUCAAAAUCAGAAUUGCCACAUAAAAAUCAGAAUUUACAAGCAAUGCGGUGAAAACAACAAUAAAAGUUAAAAAAAAAAAAGAAACACAAUUAAGAAAACUAGUUAAUAGACUAAGAUCUGGUAAAGAAACAAGGAUUCAGCUACCCGGUAUCCAUAUGUGACUCAGCUCGUAAGAGGGCUGUUCUGGUGGACUGCAGGCAGAAGGAGCAGUUGCAGAGGAUGGAAGAAAGCCCAGUAUCUGGGAUACUUUCACCCAUGCUGGUCAGUCAAAUACUGUCAUGUCAAGUGUUGUGAAGUAGUAUUUCAGUCUUUAGAUCAAGUCUUAUAGGUUUCCUUGCAGGGAGAAGUAAAGACGAGCACAGGAGACAUAGCAGCAGACCAGUAUCACAAAUACAAGGGCAAGCCUGUCUACUACUCGAAGAGAUGCGCUGCUGUUAUAACACAAGCAUAGUUUGAAGAAUUGCAGGCAAAUAUCCUUUUUUUAUUUGAUGGCAGGAAGAUGUGAAACUGAUGCAUGAGAUGGGCCUGGAAGCUUAUAGAUUUUCCAUCUCCUGGUCCCGGCUUAUUCCCGGUAACUCUGUGGAUGACUUCUUUAUUUUUUGUGUUACAACAGAAGCAUUUAUUAUCCAAAACUUGAGUAUGAUGCUUCAUGGUCCUACUCUUGCAGAUGGGCGAGGACCUGUCAAUCCAAAAGGAUUGCAGUACUACAACAAUCUAAUAAAUGAGCUGUUAAGCUAUGGUAUGGAAAUGAUUAUCUAAGUAAAGAAUCUGAUGUUAUUAGACCUUAUUUAUUUUUUUCAAACAUUGGUAAUCCUGCAGGAAUAGAACCCCAUGUAACUCUUUUACCACUUCGACCUUCCCCAAGCAUUGCAAUAUGAGUAUGCAGGAUUUCUGAGCCCAAAGAUAGUGUAAACUUCUGCACUAAUUAUAUAUAUAUCACAUGAAAAUUUAACUCAUGGUUAUUCAUAAUAGCAAUGCAGCGAAGUGGUUUUAUGAUAUGGUUUUGAUGCAGAGAGGAUUACACAGCUUAUGCUAAUGUCUGCUUUAGAGAAUUUGCUGAUAGAGUGAAGUUCUGGACUACUUUCAGCCCACUACUCGAGUCCUCCCUUUUGUUUUCCCUACAGCUGAAUAUUUGUUUUGAAUAUCCUUAAAGUUAUGGAAACUAUCCUAAAAUACCUUAAUUGUAUGCGCUAUUCAGGAUAUCCGGAGUUAAAUGUUAACAGUACAGCGAAUGCACAUUUUUAUAAUGAUGAUUUGAGAGCAAGCUUCUUACAACAGUACUUAGAAAGCCUGCUUCUGUCUAUAAGGAACGGAUCAAAUACACAAGGAUACUUUGUCUGGUCUUUCAUAGACUGUUUCGAGCUUGCAUUUGGUUAUACUGCUCGCUAUGGCAUCCAUGGAGUUGACUUCAUUGACAAAAAUAAAACAAGGUAUCCAAGAGUUUCUGGGGAGUGGUAUUCCAUGUUUCUCACGAAUGGUGGAUUGAGGAGGAGAACAUCUGGCAAUGCCUAUGUUGAGUAAACAUAGGCCAGAAUCUAUAUUAAGAGGAUAAAACCUAAACAUUUUGAAUCAUAAGCUAUGAUAUGUUAUUUCCUAUUUAGGCUAUAGGCAAAAAACAGAAAUAUAUGCAUGCACUGUGCUCAUGUUAGUUGCAUACUUUGUCUUAAUGAAAAAGCAAGUUCGGGCAUUCCCUAGCUUUUAGAGAGAGAGAGAGAGAUUGUGAAAAUGCUUGUAGCACUGGAUGAAGUUGUAAUUUCAUUAUGAGAUUGGAAAAAAAGAAAGACCAUUAGAAUAUUUUUUUUGCCUUAUUACAUCUUUAUGAUCAUGAAAAAACAUAGGUUCGUGUAGCCUUUUGUUUGCCCAUUCAAAAACCCAGGAAGAAAAAUAAACUAGAUUAUAUAACAUGCAGGAUGAAACUAUUUGUUUUUGAAGUUAUUUGUAAUGUCUUUAACAGAGUGAAAAUAAAAAGCAAUGAAUACCAAAAGCUUUGCUCAAAUGCUGUCUUCAACAUUAGCCUCCCAGUGGUUCAGUAAUUUAUAGGGUUACAAAAACACUGCAAAAAAUGGUAGCAACAGGCCUUUAAUAAUUUGAUUUUCCAGAAUUGCUAUUCAUUAGCUGAGCUAGCACUGAAAGGGUUCUUGAGGUCUCCAUGCUUAUCCACAGAUGACUAGGUUAUGAGCAAUGGCCUCUUCGAAAGAAAAAAAAAAGCUGAAAGGAUCCUAACAAAUUUCACUAGGAGAAUGAAAGGGCAAUCAGGGAGAAAAAAAAAACCAGGGAAGAAGAAAUAAAACCACAACCCAAAGGAGCAAACAAUGAGGGAGACACUGCACAAAUCUAGCAGUUGCAGUUCCAUAGUAACAUACACCAUCAGACACAGCACACUAAUCAUGGCAGAUCCCAAGACAGUUAAUAAUAUCCCAAGACAGUAACAUACACCUGCAGAUCAAAACCACUCUGAAGAACUUGCAAAAGGAUCUCAAGUGAAGGACACAUUCUGAGACCACCUCCAUCUAACCUAAUCUUAAUAGAGAAUUUCUAUAAGCCACUGUCCUCCUCAAACAUAACUUUUGAGAUUGACCUUCUACAUUUCAAAUCCCAUACCAUGCCUUCAGCCAGUACGCUGUAUUAAGAAGAAAAAAAGGCAUCCAUGUUUGCUGCAAUAGAGAAUAUACAUGACAACAAACAUUAAGAGGUAGGUCACCUAGUUACCUCUCCUUGCAAAAUUAUAUAGAUUGCAUUUACUAGAAUGAAAGAAAUCCUACAACUGAAGCUAUCCUUCAUCUUCUAAACCCCUCAAUUGAAUAGUGCGGCUCUAGAGAAAGAUCCAUAAUAGUUGAAGAGCCUUAUAUAAUUUAUACCCAACACAAGCCGUUUCCAAGGAUGAUCUCCUAAAAGAAGCUUCCACUACCAUUUUCCCAACAAAGAUAUGUUAAACUCUUAAAGAUUCUUUAUACCUAGUCUUCCUUGCACUUUAGACUUGCAAAUGAUAUCCCAAUUAAGAAGCAAAAACCAACACUGACUGAACUAUCACCCAUUUACAAGAAAGUUGUCCUUUUGUCAGUUAUGUUAGUAAUCCCACAAAGGAGCACAUAAAGCCCUCGCUGUUUUGCCGAUUAGCACAUUGGCUAGUUUGAUGGGACAUAAUUAAUAAGAUUAAGACUCCACCUAGUGGAAGCACCUUUCCCUUCCAACCAGAAAGCUUCUUGUCAACUGUGUUAGUGGCAGCCGAUCUUCUUCAUGCAAAGAAUCUGGUCUAAGUGUUAGGCCAAGAUAUUCAAUUGGAAAUUACUCAUUCUUACAAUCAAAAAAAUAGAAGUCAGGGGACUCCCCUGAUCAACAUCAUCACCAAAUAUAUAAGUGAGGUCUUGUUAAAGUUUAUCUUCGAAUGAGAGAGAUUCAAAACCGUUUAAUGAAAGCUUUAACUUAACCAUCUUCUCCUUAAGUUCCAGGCUGAAUAUAAGUAUGGCAUGUGCAAACUACAGCAAAUAACCUUUUUACAGGCAAGCCCUUGUCUAGCAAUAAAACCAUUCUCUUAAGCCAUAUAUAUCUUCCCUUCCAAGACAUCAGCUAUAAGACAAAGGAUCACCUUUUCUCAAACCUCUCUUGUAUUUAUUCCAUUUAUCAGACUUCCCAUUUAGCAUGACAGCUUAUUUACCAUGUACUAAGAAAGCCUUGAUCCAAUCAAUCCAUCUAGAGCUAAAACCUCUAGCCUGAAGAACCUUAAGGAGAAACUUCCAGCUGUCAAAACCCUUUUAAAGAUGAAGUUUUUAUGGCACCAAUAAGAUUUCCUGUGCCCCUGCAAAGCUGUCAAGAAUACACUACAUCUUCAUAGCAGAUUGAGACUCAAGAAUAAGAUUAGCCAAUAAUAUUUUCAAUCUAUAUGCCAACACUUUUAAGAUAAUCUUAUGGAUACCAUUUAACAAGCUAAUUUCGCCUAAUAUCACCUAAAUUAUCUGCAGUUUCUUUCCAAACCAACACACUGUAAACACCAUCAAUACAAUCAACAUUAAUGCAACCUUCAUAGAACUCUUGAAACAGCCUUCUGGAGUCCUCCAUUAAUGUCCAAUAUCUCUGAGAAUAUCUGAUUGGCAAGCCAUGAGGAUAUGGAACCUUUCAACAGGAAGAUGAAAAAUUGCUAGUCUAAUUUCUUCCAGAAAGAAAGUAUAUAACAAACUCCAAUUAAAACCUUGCCAAGCAUACAAACUACUUCAAUCAGACUCACUUCCCUUUCCAAAAAGAUCUGUUGAGAACUCAUGAAAAUAUUGGACAAUUUUGUUCUCCUUGAUUUUAUCCCUUUAUGUCCAAACGAACAAUGAACUCUUUUCUUGCUAUUAGCAAUCUUAUAAAAAAUAAAAAGGAGAUAUGAUUGUUUCCCUCUUUAAGCCACAAGCGCCUAGAUCAUUGCCCCUACCAUCUCUUCAUUCUCCAAAAUGCCUUAAAUGGAAUCAUUGUCCAUUUUUUUCUCUCUCAGCCUGAGAUAAAACUUGACAUUCUUCAAUUCUGUCUAUUUUAUGGACUUUCAAUUAAGGCACUUCUUUAGAUUUUUCUGAUAUUUUUCCGCUCCAUUACCUAAUUAAUGUUGUUAAGAGAACUGACCUUCAUACCAAGGCACCUCCUUUGGCUGGAUCACCUAGGCUGUAGCUGCUUAAAGCUCUCCUCCCCAUUCUAUUGACACUAGGAGGGCAGAAGCCCCACAUUUUCUCUUGUAUGAUAGCAAGAAUUGAACCUAGAUCUCUUGCAUGGACACAAGAGACUUCACCUCAGCCAGUUAGCACCUUAUAAAUAUAAUAAAGUUGAAAUUAGUGUUAGCCAAUGAGUUUAGAUGAGUUGUUCGUCAAUGCAACCAAGAAAUGCAGAAUUAAAUACAUAAAGAACUCAAGUAAAUACAGCUAUGACAAAAAAUUGAUUAUGUCAGAUGUUUCAACUUUAAAGCCAUAAAUUAUUACUGAAGUAGAAGAACAUAUAGAAGUAACAUGAAGUUUCAAAAGAUACAUGCUUCUCACUAUGAAUACAGAUAAUCAAGCAAAGAGUUUUAACACCUUUUACCAAAUCAAGCAUAA